rnacentral:lncRNA from 1 species
AAUGCUUAACGUCAUUUUUCUGUUUUCUGUAUAAUAGACCUUUUUAAAACUACCCACGUUGUUUGAAAAACACCACGAGCUGAAAAAUACCACGGUUUUCUUCAAUUUUCAACAAGCUGUUAAAAAUGGAAUGAAAAAAAAGUGAUAGUACGAUAAGAAUGAAAACAUUAUUAAUGACUAAGUUAAAAAAUUCAAAUACCGCAAGCAUUUUUCAUAUUGAGACAGAAUUGAGAAUGAUACAAGAGAAUGUGGUGCAAAAGAAAAUUUAUUUACCAGUUAUUUACGUGUGUUUGUUGGGCGAAAUUUGGUCAUAAGCACACAAAUUUUAAUGAAUUCGUAAUUCUAAUUUUAAUGAAAUUUUUUUUACUUUUCAUAUCAACUAAUAUAAAAACUAUAAUAAUUUAAAAUUCAAAGUAUGAGUU